AUUGAACGCUGGCGGCAUGCCUUACACAUGCAAGUCGAACGGCAGCACGGGAGCAAUCCUGGUGGCGAGUGGCGAACGGGUGAGUAAUAUAUCGGAACGUGCCCGGUCGUGGGGAUAACGUAGCGAAAGCUACGCUAAUACCGCAUACGAUCUACGGAUGAAGGCGGGGGAUCGCAAGACCUCGCGCGAUUGGAGCGGCCAAUAUCAGAUUAGGUAGUUGGUGAGGUAAAGGCUCACCAAGCCGACGAUCUGUAGCUGGUCUGAGAGGACGACUAGCCACACUGGGACUGAGACACGGCCCAGACUCCUACGGGAGGCAGCAGUGGGGAAUUUUGGACAAUGGGCGCAAGCCUGAUCCAGCAAUGCCGCGUGCAGGAUGAAGGCCUUCGGGUUGU
rnacentral:rRNA from 1 species